CCCCAUGGAGCAGCACUGCCAACACUUUGGGACCUUCAGAAGUGGCAGGAGGCUCUCAGUCAAGCUCCAAAGCAAACCAUGGAGUAUUUUCUCCCACUGUACCUGUGCUUUACAGGCGCCUUUUAGAAGACAAGCACUCCACCCAAAGGUGUCUGCCCAGCAGCCAGGACUCCCUAAGUGUGACACAGAGGCGGCACCAGCCUCAUCUGCAAUGGAACUGCCAUGCAGCACCUACAGACCUCAGCGCAGAUUCUCAGCUUUAUCCAGGUCCAAGAGGAGCCAUCCAAGGUUUGAAGCACAGGGUGACACAGCCACUUCAAGUCCUGGUUUCCCUGAAACACCUGAG